rnacentral:piRNA from 1 species
UGGUAGAGACCUGCUGCUGCCUGUAAC